GUUAGCCGAGACUUAUUCCUAUGCUACCGUCCUUGUCUCGUCACAUAGAAAAGAGCUUUACGACCCGAAGGCCUUCUUCGCUCACGCGGCGUCGCUGCAUCAGGCUUUCGCCCAUUGUGCAAUAUUCCUC
rnacentral:rRNA from 1 species